GACGAGGGGUCCUAGCGUUGUUCGGAAUCACUGGGCGUAAAGCGUGUGUAGGCGGUGCUCUAAGUUCGGUGUGAAAUCUCCCGGCUCAACUGGGAGGGUGCGCCGGAAACUGGAGUGCUUGAGCGUGGGAGAGGAAAGCGGAAUUCCUGGUGUAGCGGUGAAAUGCGUAGAUAUCAGGAGGAACACCUGUGGUGUAGACGGCUUUCUGGACCAUUGCUGACGCUGAGACACGAAAGCGUGGGUAGCAAACAGG
rnacentral:rRNA from 1 species